rnacentral:rRNA from 1 species
GAACGCGAAGAACCUUACCAGGUCUUGACAUCCCUCUGACCGCUCUAGAGAUAGAGUUUUCCUUCGGGACAGAGGUGACAGGUGGUGCAUGGUUGUCGUCAGCUCGUGUCGUGAGAUGUUGGGUUAAGUCCCGCAACGAGCGCAACCCCUAUUGUUAGUUGCCAUCAUUCAGUUGGGCACUCUAGCGAGACUGCCGGUAAUAAACCGGAGGAAGGUGGGGAUGACGUCAAAUCAUCAUGCCCCUUAUGACCUGGGCUACACACGUGCUACAAUGGCUGGUACAACGAGUCGCAAGCCGGUGACGGCAAGCUAAUCUCUUAAAGCCAGUCUCAGUUCGGAUUGUAGGCUGCAACUCGCCUACAUGAAGUCGGAAUCGCUAGUAGUCGCGGAUCAGCACGCCGCGGUGAAUACGUUCCCGGGUCUUGUACACACC